AGUGAACGCUGGCGGUAGGCCUAACACAUGCAAGUCGAACGGCAGCACAGUAAGAGCUUGCUCUUACGGGUGGCGAGUGGCGGACGGGUGAGGAAUACAUCGGAAUCUACUUUUUCGUGGGGGAUAACGUAGGGAAACUUACGCUAAUACCUCAUACGACCUACGGGUGAAAGCAGUGGCUCUUCGGACCUUGCGCGAUUGAAUGAGCCGAUGGCGGAUUAGCUCGUUGGCGGGGUAAAGGCCCACCAAGGCGACGAUCCGUAGCUGGUCUGAGAGGAUGAUCAGCCACACUGGAACUGAGACACGGUCCAGACUCCUACGGGAGGCAGCAGUGGGGAAUAUUGGACAAUGGGCGCAAGCCUGAUCCAGCCAUACCGCGUGGGUGAAGAAGGCCUUCGGGUUGUAAAGCCCUUUUGUUGGGAAAGAAAAGCAGCAGGUUAAUACCCCGCUGUUCUGACGGUACCCAAAGAAUAAGCACCGGCUAACUUCGUG
rnacentral:rRNA from 1 species